rnacentral:rRNA from 1 species
AUUGAACGCUGCGGCAGGCUUAACACAUGCAAGUCGAGCGAGUGGCGGUCGGGUGAGUAAUGCUUAGGAAUCUGCCUAUUAGUGGGGGACAACAUCUAGAAAGGGAUGCUAAUACCGCAUACUAAUAGAUUAGCCUAAGUCGGAUUAGCUAGUUGGUGGGGUAAAGGCCUACCAUGGCGACGAUCUGUAGCGGGUCUGAGAGGAUGAUCCGCCACAUGGGGACUGAGAAACGGCCCAGACUCCUACGGGAGGCAGCAGUGGGGAAUAUUGGACAAUGGGGGGAACCCUGAUGGAGCAAUGCCGCGUGUGUGAAGAAGGCCUUAGGGUUGUAAAGCGCUUUAAGCAAGGAGGCGUUACUCGCAGAGAAAGCACCGGCUAACUCUGUGCCAGCAGCCGCGGUAAUAC